UCCGUGUGCCUUUUCGUUGGAUUUUCUUCCUGCUAUACACGUGUUGCUCAUCCAAGAACGGAAGAAAGAUGGAAAAUCAGGGAUCUUCCAUUUGCUUCCACGGAUUUCUCGAUCUCUCUCGAGCUCAGGUUCGUCUCUCUCUGUCUCUCAAUUUUUUUUUUUUUCAAUUCGUGAUCGAAUUUUCUUUCCAAAUAAUGUUAGGUCCGUUGCCUUCGGGAAGAAAGUUUAAACCUAGAAAAGCAUGGUUUUCAGGAAAUCGUCAAUCCUGCAGAAACCUUGGGUUUCCUGAUUUCAUCAGCUAUUUCAUCAAUUUUUCGAUUCGAUCAGGAUCGGUUUUUUACCCACGAAAUCUAGCAUGUUCUGAUCCAGCUUGGGUGUAUGAUCAGGAGACCUUGCUGUUUGUUUUUAGGCUUCGGUGUAUAGACUUCGAAGCCCUUUGUGCACAAGGUGGUAAUCGAAGAAGUUUGUCAAGGGCCAAGGAGGAUUGGAUUUCAGAUUGGCAGAAAUACAAGGCCUCCCUCUCUGUUGCAGAAGAUGGGGGCUUUGGAUUUAAAGAAGGUGGUGACAGGCACCAGGGGUGGCUUCUCAUCAUUUGCAAUUGGUUACAUGGGGUGUUUUCUAUUUAUUGGCUAAUAUGUUGAGCCUUUUAGUCAUCGGAUACUGGUUGGAGAAAGAGUUCAACUUUGCGGUUAAAGAGGGGUGCGAGGAAACUUUAGAAAAUAUUAAGGAAGGUUCUGAUGAAUUCUCAUUUAGAGUUGGUGACAACCAAUCGACUCAUCACCAACUUCAGAUCAAGAUUCAAGCAUGCCUUAAAUGUAAAGCUUGCAUUAAGAUUCAGCUCUCCGAUCCGAAAGACCUUAAGAUUGAUGGCUGAAUUAUUCAACGCGCGGGCAUUGAUUUCUAGUACAAACUAAUGCACAGCUUAGGCUAAUUUGUCACUAAGGAAAAGAUGACAAUAACAUAGUUUCUACUAACCUUAACUUCAUUAGCCAUCUCACCGGUAAGAUUGACCUGCUGUUGUAUUCCAGACUUUGCCGCGUCCAUUGUGGCCGCAUUGAAUAGUCUUAUUGCUUCACGAACAUGCUCCUCAGUAGCUUCGUGGCGCCUGAAUUUGACAUUGUGGUUUUCAAUAGUGAUGUUCUAGUUCACGUUCAUGUUAAUAAACAUUACAACUGGAAGUCCUAACUCCUAAGCAUCAAUCAAUAUCACUAAUACUUACAGUUGCAUUUUUGCAAGGGCCUCACUCAACCUCACUAUAGCUUCAAGCUGCCUUACGGUGAUUGGCACUGCUGCGGCCUCCCCUGUUUCAUUCGCUAGCUGUCUCAUGUCCUAUAACAAAAUUCAUGAAGAUGAUGUCAAUCGGAUCCUUGAGAACCAUAUACCAAUAUGUGGAUCCAGUUAACAGAGAAACCAAAUGGGACUUCCAUAGAACUUGUAGCAUGAUCAACUUCUUUGAGGACCAUAUGAGAAUUUUUGGCUCUCUCGAUGCAGUUUCUGAUAAGCAGGGGUGACAUUCAGUUCGACAAUAUUGUAUGUACCUACAAUGUCGCAAAGAAAAAGAAUUCAACAUCUCAUUGAUAUUGCAAUGGCACCAUUUUAUAACGAAUGUAUGAACUUGUGUUUCAAAGUGGUAUACCUCUUCAGCCAAUUCUCUUCUUUAGAAACUACUCUACCAUCACCCAGUGCUGCACCAGCAGAUGCAUGAACCUUUAUGAUAUGACUCGCUAUAGUCUGUCAUUGAAAAGCCGAGUCAAGCUACCGAUGAAAAAGGAAGUACGAUCAAAGUGGACCAGCAGUGACACUCAAAGAUAUAGUACAUGUUAGGUGUUGAAAUGCCACCUAAAAGAAAACAAGAAGAAUUGUACUCCCAAAGUAAUUGAGCAAAACACUUCGAAUUAGCAAUAUUAAAAAUACCUUAUCCUGACUGUA